rnacentral:rRNA from 1 species
AGCGAACGUUAGCGGCGCGCUUAACACAUGCAAGUCGUACGAGAAAGGGCUUCGGCCCCGGUAAAGUGGCGCACGGGUGCGUAACACGUAGGUAAUCUGCCCUCAAGCGGGGGAUAACUUCCCGAAAGGGAUGCUAAUACCGCAUAAGACCACGGCCAGUUCGCUGGACGCGGUAAAAGCUGGCCUCUGCACGCAAGCUAGCACUUGAGGAUGAGCCUGCGGCCUAUCAGCUAGUUGGUAAGGUAACGGCUUACCAAGGCUAGGACGGGUAGCUGGUCUGAGAGGAUGAUCAGCCACACUGGUACUGAAACACGGGCCAGACUCCUACGGGUGGCAG